rnacentral:rRNA from 1 species
UGGGGAAUAUUGCACAAUGGGCGAAAGCCUGAUGCAGCAACGCCGCGUGAGUGAUGAAGGUCUUCGGAUUGUAAAGCUCUGUCUUUUGGGACGAUAAUGACGGUACCAAAGGAGGAAGCCACGGCUAACUACGUGCCAGCAGCCGCGGUAAUACGUAGGUGGCGAGCGUUGUCCGGAUUUACUGGGCGUAAAGGGUGCGUAGGCGGAUGUUUAAGUGAGAUGUGAAAUACCCGGGCUUAACUUGGGUGCUGCAUUUCAAACUGGAUAUCUAGAGUGCAGGAGAGGAGAAUGGAAUUCCUAGUGUAGCGGUGAAAUGCGUAGAGAUUAGGAAGAACACCAGUGGCGAAGGCGAUUCUCUGGACUGUAACUGACGCUGAGGCACGAAAGCGUGGGUAGCAAACAGGAUUAGAUACCCUGGUAGUCCACGCCGUAAACGAUGAGUACUAGGUGUAGGAGGUAUCGACCCCUUCUGUGCCGCAGUAAAACACAUUAAGUAC